rnacentral:rRNA from 1 species
AGAGUUUGAUCAUGGCUCAGAUUGAACGUUGGCGGCAGGCCUAAAACAUGCAAGUCGAACGGUAACAGCAGGAGCUUGCUCCUGGCUGACGAGUGGCGGACGGGUGAGUAACACGUAGGAAUCUACCUAGUAGUGGGGGACAACCCGGGGAAACUCGGGCUAAUACCGCAUACGCUCUACGGAGGAAAGCGGGGGAUCUUCGGACCUCGCGCUAUUAGAGGAGCCUGCGUCGGAUUAGCUAGUUGGUGGGGUAAAGGCCUACCAAGGCGACGAUCCGUAGCUGGUCUGAGAGGACGAUCAGCCACACUGGAACUGAGACACGGUCCAGACUCCUACGGGAGGCAGCAGUUAGGAAUCUUGGGCAAUGGGCGCAAGCCUGACCCAGCCAUGCCGCGUGUGUGAAGAAGGCCUUCGGGUUGUAAAGCACUUUCAGUGGCGAAGAAAAGUUUGGGGCUAAUAACCUCGAGUUUUGACGUUAUCCACAGAAGAAGCACCGGCUAACUCCGUGCCAGCAGCCGCGGUAAUACGGAGGGUGCGAACGUUAAUCGGAAUUACUGGGCGUAAAGCGCGCGUAGGCGGUUCGAUAAGUGGGAUGUGAAAGCCCCGGGCUUAACCUGGGAAUUGCAUUCCAAACUGACGAGCUAGAGUACGGUAGAGGGAGGUAGAAUUUCCUGUGUAGCGGUGAAAUGCGUAGAUAUAGGAAGGAAUACCAGUGGCGAAGGCGGCCUCCUGGAUCGAUACUGACGCUAAGGCGCGAAAGCGUGGGGAGCAAACAGGAUUAGAUACCCUAGUAGUCC